AAGCAUUGAAGACGUUGACUACAAAUACUAAAAGGAAUUACAAGAAGUAUGUGAAAACAGUUGCCAACACGUAAAAAUAGUGUUUUUAUUGAACAAUCGUCCCAAGUGACACAUGGGUUCUACUGCGCAUGUCAAUACAUUUCAUUGAUAAAUUCUAGCACAGGUGCGUGGAAUUUACUACGAUUUACUACGAUCUACUACAGUUGCUACAAUUGGAUCUUCACAAAAAUACAAGACAAACAGUUGGAUUAUUCAGUGGAUUAUUACUAUGAACUGGUAAAUUAUUACAUGAACUUCAACUGGUUUAUCAAAUAUACAAAUGACAGUAAUUCAAUAUUUCUAGAAAACUUAUAACAUUGUAAUUGUUCU
rnacentral:lncRNA from 1 species